rnacentral:lncRNA from 1 species
AUCAAAUCUAAGAGAUGUACCCUCCGGAUGUCGAUAUCUGUCCGCGUUUGACACCAACAAGGACGGACAUUUGGACGAGUCUCAACUGGAAGACUUCUUAGACACGCGGAUGUACGGGAAAUCUUGGACAGAGCUGAUGACGAUGGAAACAACAAGAUCUCCAUGCAAGAGUUUCAGCAAUUCAUCAAUGAGAUAAACAAGAUGGAAUAAACAAAAAACAAGUCCAGCUCUUACUCUCUGAAUAUCGAGAACUGACUUCUUAUGAGAUGCCAUCUGUCUAGACAAUAAUAAAAUUUGCA